rnacentral:rRNA from 1 species
AUUCCAGCUCCAAUAGCGUAUAUUAAUGUUGUUGCAGUUAAAAAGCUCGUAGUUGGAUUUCUGGUGGGAGCGGCCGGUCCGCCGUUUCGGUGUGCACUUGCUAGUCCCACCUUGCUGCCGGGGACGUGCUCUUGGGUUUCGGCUGGGACGUGGAUUCGACGAGGUUACUUUGAAAAAAUUAGAGUGUUCAAAGCAAGCUAAAGCUCUGAAUACAUUAGCAUGGAAUAACGCGAGAGGACUCGGUCCUUAUUUUGUUGGUCUUCAAGGAUGGAGUAAUGAUUAAGAGGGACAGUUGGGGGCAUUCGUAUUUCAUUGCUAGAGGUGAAAUUCUUGGAUUUAUGAAAGACGAACUUCUGCGAAAGCAUUUGCCAAGGAUGUUUUCAUUA